AUACGUUACGAAAGUCCCCGGACAACAGACCCAACUCCCAUCAAUAUUUUAUGUAUGUUUUAUUUGCCUAUUUAUUCUGCAGUUCAAUAAAAAUUACAUGUUGCUAUGGAAACAUGAAAAAUCACAGAUACCUGCUCUACUCAGAGCUGAGUAGUGCCUACUACCACGCAGAGGAUCAAGAGUGAGAAUCUCAGUGCUUUGGCCCUCUGAAGACUUGGGAUGUUUGAGAAAGAACAUGAGAAUCAAAAGACUCUGAUUAGAAGCCCAUCUCUGUCAGUUCCCAACUAUGUGGAUCUAAACUGCACUUGUGUACGUGCUAUGUCUGCAUAAACUCUUUCUGCAAUUCAAAUGUUGACACCCAAAAUUACAAGCCAGAAUGCUUAUGAACUCCACUAUUAUGGUACUGCACUUUUGUGCUGCUUGUUAGGUCACAAAGGGGCCUCGAUGCUUUUGGUGUUGCUGUCGGAGAUAAUUCCAUCUCUGGCACACUGUGUCUGUAGCGUCCUGGACC
rnacentral:lncRNA from 1 species